CGGGCGUCGGGGAAGGAGCGUGUAUGCGGAAGCCUCCUCUGAGCCUCUAAAGGACUCACAUCACCUCGGAAGCUGUGAAUCUGGAAGAUUCUGCCUGUAACAGGCUUCCAACCACUUCUCCAGAACCGGUGGCUCAUCAUUCGCUUCUCCCAGAGCCUAUCCAGAUGUUAACACACGAUGACACAGAAACCAGCACCCCUUUAUCCAGCAUACUGAAGGUUCUGCAUUUUGGGCAAGAAUACCACAGAAGUGAUGCCAUGUCCUCAUAAGGCACUAGCAGGUGCCACCUGAGCUUGAUUUGCCCCGUUACUUACAAUGUUCACUUUGAUCUCUUGAUUAAGCUGGUGUCUGCCAGCCUCCUUCACUAUCAAGACAAGGAAUUGGCAAGUUGUACUUGGAGGAGCCUGGGGCCUGGACUGUUGGAGAAGGGUUUGUACUGAAGGCAGCACCUUGAAGGAAAGAGAGAAAGGAAGAUCCAAACUGAGGAAAUGACAGGAGGAAAAAGGCAGAGACAAAAAUCUGAACAUCAGACAGAGAGAGAGCCCGAUGGUAUACGUUUGGAGCGUCAGACAGAAACUUUUUACUUGUUGAGAGAGUUUGGACAAGUUAUUUAAUUUCUCUGACUAUCAAUUUUCACAUCUGUAAAAUGAGAAACAACUAAUGCCUUUGAGGGUGGAUGUGAGGAUUCUUGCUGACGGAUGUGAAGUGUGUAUGAUGUGCAUGGUGUUCAUCAGAUGAUGUGAAAUGACGGUUAUUACUAUAAUGAGGCAUGGCUAGAGCAACAUGGAGACCAGCCAUGAACAGACGCGUGGAGAAUUGAAAGGCUCCAGUAGGAGCCAAGUCAUGGACAAUUAUUAACUAAUGUAAUUUCUUUAAAAAUUAUUAUCUACUUCUUAGAGCUUCUUAAAACUGGAAAUACAUGGAAGGUGUGUGGAACCUAUCACCUCCAUUUUGAGAUGGUCAGAUUUAAAAAAAAGAUAAGGAUCUAAAUGUGAUUGCUAUCAUUGCGUCUAUGUAAUGGGUCAGCAUUCUUCGUUAUUAUGAGAAGGCAGUGUAAGGAAGAUGUGCUGAAUGACUCUUGAGUCUAAUGCAAUAUGACUUCCUGUUGUGAUCAAAGGCUGUUUAUCAUGGUGGUGUUAGAGGGAAACUGACCUUAGGGGAGUGAUGGGUGUGAAAGUAACUUCCCAAGGGCAACAUACUCAACAAACAUUUACUCAAUAAACAUUAACAAAGUACAUAGUGAAUGCUAAGCUCUCUGCCAGGCAUCCUGCCAUUAUUCUACCUCCUCUGCAACCAAGAUUUCUAUCUAGAGAUACAGAUGGAAGAUACCUGAGUUCAUGACUGAAUUUAUUCCUUUUAGUAUCUUGUUUCUCCCUUCCUUUUGUAUGAACUUUGCUUGUACUAACUCUUUAUUAUAUUACGCUUUCCAAUUUUGGCAGUUUUAUUGAUAUAUAGGAUUUUUGUUAAGUUUUAGUAUACAUCUAUUAAACCAUCACCACAAUGGACAUAAUCAUCCAAAGUUUUCCUCUUGUCCCCUUGCAAUCUUCUCCUGUUACCCCUUUCCAAGUUCUAAGCAAGUGCCAUUAGGUAAUGGGGGCUCCAUUCUUUCACCCAGCUCCUACUUGUGGAGUGGAGACUCUACUUUGGCAUGGCCUGCUGAGAAGGGUGGGCCAUAAUCACCCUUGUUCCAGCUGAUUGAUUGGAAGUUUUUCCAUAUCAGGAAAUGUAAGGUCCAAGAGGACCCCAGGCUUCUGCUCUGCCUCCACUGGGCAUUCAGAUCCUGAAAUGAAAAUGUCACUGGGAGAGAAGCUAGCCAUUGUCCUAUCCCCCAGAGUCAAAGCUCUGGCUGGAAGGCAAAAGCAAGCCAUAAAACAGAUAGUUCCUAAUCUCUUCCUAAAGGAACUUACCUCAUUUGCAAAAGAGGAUAAAGAAGUUCAAGCUCAAGGGUGCUCUCAAGAACAGUGAAAAUUGUGGUGAAAGAUGAUUGGGAGGCAGGUCAAGAUCCAGGCUAAACUGUAGGCCUUCUAGUUUGCAGGAAAGAACUGGGGAAGAACACAUCUGGGAAGGGCCCU